GCUUGUUCUUCGAUUGCUUGCAGGAACAUAGACCUUCGUGGUCAGGUUGAUCGUGCCCCCGCGUGAUCAAUAACCCUCUGGAGUUGGUGUAUCCAUUGCUAAGGCGCUGCCUCCUAGGCCGUAGUCGGAUCGUCAACGUCACCUCCUACCCAAAUCGAGAGUUAUCAAUCUCAUCGAAAGAUCGGGCCACCCCGUCCCGCAUCACGUGGUAUCAGAGCUUAAGGUUGCUCGGUGAGAUUUUUCCAGUUUAUCCCUAGUUUAGAUCUGUUUUUAACUAUCGUCCAGAAAAAGCCAAACAAAAAUUAGAAUUAGUUACCUUGUUCUAGAACCAAUCUGAGCCUUGCAAUUUUCACUUUAGUAUUUGCAUUGUUGAAUCUUUGCUGCAUUAAUCGUGUUGAGUUGCUGGAUUAGAUUUGAUCGUUUUUCAGAUUUUUUCUACUAGAUCGAACUUGCUUUUGGUUUUCUUGUUCUUCGUGUGACGCAGGUUUCCUUCAUCAAUCUUCCGCCGCCAAACUUCCUGCCACACCACUGCCAUAAUCUCCCGCCGCCACCAUAUCUUCCACCGAGUCUCUCUACGAGUCCUACACCGAGUCCCUCUUUGAGUCCUACACCGAGUCCCUCAUCGAGUCCUACACCGAGUCCCUCUUCGAGUCCUACACCGAGUCCCUCGUCGAGUCCUACACCGUGUCCUACAUCGAGUUCUACAUUGAGUCGGCAAGUUAUAGUUUUCAGCCGCAAGUUCGAGUCCGAGUCCAAUCAAGAGUGCUUUUGGAAAGUUUUCAUAAUAGAUCGAAUUUUGUUUAGAAAUCAAGUUGUUCGGAAAGUUUUCAAAAAAAAAGAAAGAAAAGAAAAAAAAGGAAAGAAAGAAAAAAAAAGGAAAAAAAACGAGAGAAAGAGUUCGAGUCAGUUUCGGACCCGAGUCCGAGUAGAAUUUUAGUUUCGGGUGGGUUUGACCCGUGUUCAGUAAAACGGGCGUAUCUUUUGCGUACCAACUCGGAUUUGGACGUUCUUGGACUUUUUGGAAAGCUCACGACGAGGCGCAUCAGGAAAUAUCCAGGGCGUUGCCCUGCACUUUGACCCUCAAAUUCGGUUUUUAAGGUGGACUUUCGGAGCUUUCAAGUUUCUGCAUCCGUUUUCCGGCGUCACUGCAGCCCGGUGUUUUUCAGUUUUCUCCACCGUCCGACAUCCGUUUUGAGUGAUCUUGCCCUUGCUAGAAAGCUUGUGUCGAUACGCUUCUAACCCAUAUUUUUCCAUAUUUUUCUGAAUUUUUCUUACUGCAGCCUUUGCUGUUCUUCGACAGACCGACGUACAGUUUUCCGGUCCUUCUUUUGUGUGAGUUUCUGGGGUUAAAAAAAAAGAAAAAAAAAGAAGAAAAGAAUAAGAAGCCAAACAGAAGGCCACAAAAAGAAAAAAGAAGAGAAAAAUCCCAGGGAUUUACUUGUUGUGCCAUCUUUUGAUCUUUCUAUCAUAUCUUCUUCAGUAUCUAGGCUUAGAUUAUUUCUGUAAUUCGUUCUUAUCGACUCCAGCAGCUAGGACUAGCAUUAUUGAGCAUAUUUUCAACUUUGCAUUGCUGAUUCGAUUAUUUGCUAUUCUUUGCUACUCACAAAAGCCUCCAAGCUCCACAGAUUCUACACCUAGGUUGGUUUGUUACCGAGGCAUCGAUACAUUUAAUCUUCGGAGGGCUUGGUCACGCCGCUAGCCAUCACCUUCCUAUUUUGCAUGGUAAGAACUUAUAAGAACUUGAUUUUUAGCUUGAGAGUUGAGCGACUUGUAGCCACAUCCUAUUAGUUGAUAGGAACAUAUUCCUGUGUUUUGUUUCUUGUCUUAUACUAACCAUGACAGGACUUACACAAAGGAUGGAAAAUAGGCCUAUGCUAUCAAGUGACCGACAUGAGCGUUUUUCACCACAUCCAUCCUCCUCGUCUCUUGUUGACAUUGGCAAGGAAAAGGUAUAUCACAAUCCUUAUAAUGUCACUAAUUGUUUUGGACCUUUCUUUGAUGGAAAUAAUGAUGCUGAAGCUUAUAUUGAUUGGGAAAUAGCUCUAAUUGAGCAAUUCACAUGCUUCCAUGUACUAGAUAGUCGUAAGGUCCAAAUUGCUAGUAGUAGAUUUCGUUUUGAUGCAUUAUCAUGGUGG
rnacentral:lncRNA from 1 species